UAGGGAAUCUUCCACAAUGGACGCAAGUCUGAUGGAGCAACGCCGCGUGAGUGAAGAAGGUUUUCGGACCGUAAAGCUCUGUUGUUGGUGAAGAAGGAUAGAGGUAGUAACUGGCCUUUAUUUGACGGUAAUCAACCAGAAAGUCACGGCUAACUACGUGCCAGCAGCCGCGGUAAUACGUAGGUGGUAAGCGUUGUCCGGAUUUAUUGGGCGUAAAGCGAGCGCAGGCGGAAGAAUAAGUCUGAUGUGAAAGCCCUCGGCUUAACCGAGGAAUUGCAUCGGAAACUGUUUUCUUGAGUGCAGAAGAGGAGAGUAGAACUCCAUGUGUAGCGGUGGAAUGCGUAGAUAUAUGGAAGAAUACCAGUGGCGAAGGCGGCUCUCUGGUCUGCAACUGACGCUGAGGCUCGAAAGCAUGGGUAGCGAACAGGAUUAGAUACCCUGGUAGUCCAUGCCGUAAACGAUGAGUGCUAAGUGUUGGGAGGCUUCCGCCUCUCAGUGCUGCAGCUAACGCAUUAAGCACUCCGCCUGGGGGAGUACGACCGCAAGGUUGAAAC
rnacentral:rRNA from 1 species